CGCUAUCACUCCUACGGGAGGCAGCAGUAGGGAAUCUUCCACAAUGGGCGCAAGCCUGAUGGAGCAACACCGCGUGAGUGAAGAAGGGUUUCGGCUCGUAAAGCUCUGUUGUUAAAGAAGAACACGUAUGAGAGUAACUGUUCAUACGUUGACGGUAUUUAACCAGAAAGUCACGGCUAACUACGUGCCAGCAGCCGCGGUAAUACGUAGGUGGCAAGCGUUAUCCGGAUUUAUUGGGCGUAAAGAGAGUGCAGGCGGUUUUCUAAGUCUGAUGUGAAAGCCUUCGGCUUAACCGAAGAAGUGCAUCGGAAACUGGAUAACUUGAGUGCAGAAGAGGGUAGUGGAACUCCAUGUGUAGCGGUGGAAUGCGUAGAUAUAUGGAAGAACACCAGUGGCGAAGGCGGCUACCUGGUCUGCAACUGACGCUGAGACUCGAAAGCAUGGGUAGCGAACAGGAUUAGAUACCCUGGUAG
rnacentral:rRNA from 1 species